rnacentral:rRNA from 1 species
AUUUGACCUCAAUCCAGGUAGGACUACCCGCUGAACUUAA